CAGCAGCCGCGGUAAUACGUAGGUGGCAAGCGCUGUCCGGAAUUAUUGGGCGUAAAGGGCUCGCAGGCGGUUUCUUAAGUCUGAUGUGAAAGCCCCCGGCUCAACCGGGGAGGGUCAUUGGAAACUGGGAAACUUGAGUGCAGAAGAGGAGAGUGGAAUUCCACGUGUAGCGGUGAAAUGCGUAGAGAUGUGGAGGAACACCAGUGGCGAAGGCGACUCUCUGGUCUGUAACUGACGCUGAGGAGCGAAAGCGUGGGGAGCGAACAGGAUUAGAUACCCGUGUAGUCCCUGUCUCUUAUAC
rnacentral:rRNA from 1 species